rnacentral:misc_RNA from 1 species
GAUGAAGAACGCAGCGAAAUGCGAUACUUGGUGUGAAUUGCAGAAUCCCGUGAACCAUCGAGUCUUUGAACGCAAGUUGCGCCCGAAGCCAUCAGGUUGAGGGCACGUCUGCCUGGGCGUCACAUAUCGUUGCCCAAUGCCUAUUGCAGUGCAAUAGGAAUUUCUAGGGCGAAUGAUGGCUUCCCGUGAGCGUUGUUGCCUCGCGGUUGGUUCAAAAUCGAGUCCUUGGUAGGGUGUGCCAUGGUAGAUGGUGGUCGAGUUAGAACGAUACCGAUCAUGUGCAUGCUCCCCAAAAUAUGGCCUCUAUGACCCACACGCGUCUUUUGACGCUCAUGACGAGACCUCAGGUCAGGCGGGGCUACCCGCUGAAUUUAAGCAUAUCAAUAAGCGGAGGA